AUGAUUUUGCUCCGAGUAGAAGGAAUUCCAGCAUCAGAGACAGGCGUGGGAGGUAGCUUUUCCAGAGAGCACCACCCUCCACCACCUUUUGACCCACUUCUGGUAUUUCUGGAGCACAUGUCACCCUUCUUACCAUCUUUCUGUCUCCGGUCAGUUAAAUCCUGGUUUAUCAUCAUAGUAGUCAGCUCAACACCCUCCUGCCCCCCCCCCCCCCCCCCCCCCCCCCCCCCCCCCACCCCCCUCCAUACUCCACACUCCCUCCCCCACCUUACCAUAGAGCGACAACAACCCUUACAUAGGGCUUCCCAGGUGGCUCACUGGCCAGUGCAGGAGACACGGGAGACUAGGGUUUGAUCUCUGAGUUUGAUUUGGGCAGAUCCCCGGGAGGAGGGCACAGCAACGCACUCCAGUAUUCUUGCCUGGAGAAUCCCAUGGACAGAGGGAGCCUGGCGGGCUACAGUCCACAGGGUCACAAAGAGUCAGACACAACUGAGCGACUGAACAACAACCCUCACACAGCUCUUCUCCACCCCAGGGGAUUUGAAAUUACUUAAAUUAAGCUGUCUCAUCAUUCCCUUCCAAUCACUUCUAAUAACACCUUAUAUUUAUAGCUCUUUUGAGUUCACAAAGCUCUUUGACAUUAUCGCAUUUAAUUUGAGCCUCAGACGCCCGUAUGAGGUAAGCAAGGCGGUGACUUUUUCUUCUCUUUUUGCAGAGAAGGAAACCGACUCUGGGUGAAACAGCACUUUGCUGAAAGCCACUGCGGUAAAACCAGCUGCAAGUUGAGGUUUGCCCAAGCACAACCCUCUCUGCACUGUGUAUUCAGCCUCGCAUCCAGGGACUAAGAAGUUUCAGGGCCUGUGUCAUGUUUUUUUCGGAGGUGGAAUUGGCAAACGAGCAAGUUGCUCUUGAUCCUGCCUGCGGCUGUUGGAAAACUUGCCUCGCCCUCCUCACAUUAGUUGCCUGUUGAAUUUGGAACCUGAAACAAAGAAAUCUUCCGUUUGCUUGUUUGCAUUUUAUAUCGUUUCCUCCUGAAACUUGCAUUUCUGCCAUAGUUAGUCACUUUAAUUAGGCCAUGACACUUGAAAAUUAAGCCAGCUUUGUCAUGAAAAGCAAGUUUCUUCUGUUGAAAAAGGACAGCCUUUUGAAGCCAAUGAAGAUAAGUAGUUUGGCAAUAUUCUGCACAGCACACCCUUGACAGGCCACAGAAUAGAAGGGCAGUUAAGAUACCAUAUCUGAAUUAUUUGGUAACAGAAAUAAAUUCUCCUGGUCUCAGGACUCCAAAUAUUAAGAAAUACAAAUGCAGGCUGUAAGGGAUCACUAGACGGUCAGUUCAUGUCAUUUCUGUUCCCUCUCCUCUGCCUUUCUUGGAGAAAGCUAUACAAUUUGGGCUGUUCUCAGAACCUUAGAGACAUGUGAAGUACUUUGUAUUUUCAAACAUUUUUUUUUUGGUUAAAAUUGAUGCUGAAAGAAAUGACAGAUUACACCUUCAGAGCCAGGCAAGAGGAGUGGAAACUAUUGUAUUCUGCUUGGGAAAAGUGGUCACCCUAAAAGCUAAUCAGUUUUCAGAUCAGCUUCCUCUUACUGAGUCAGGCUCGGAGCAGAAUAAGAAAUAAAUGGUUCCAAACUUGAACGCAAAACAAGAAGUACCUCUGAUUAGAUGGUACUGAAUUGAAUGAAUGUAGAAUGCUUUUCCAUUAAAGGAAGAACCAGGUGGUUCUGGAUUAGAAAGAGAGGAGUCAGUGUGAUUCAGUCAUGACUUAAAUAAACAUAUAUUAUAAUUUUCCCUACUGAAGGGCCCUAGAAACAAUGACUCCUCAGUAACAAUAAACACACCAUGUGCCCAGAUGUUGGUUUCUAAAUGCCAUGCCCCUGGAUUUGUCAUGAAAAGGAACAGUUUCAGGGCUGGGGAAGGGAAUACAAGAUAAACCUAUGAUACGCCAGAAAGUAGAAAAGCAAAGACUUACACGUAUUCAUAAAAAAUGUCAUGCAGGGACUUCCCUGGCAGUCCAGUGGUUAAGACUCCAUGUUUCACUGCAUGGGGGACAGGUUUGAUCCCUGGUCAGGGAACUAAGAUGACUCAUGCGACACAGCUUGGCUGAGAAAUUUAAAAAUAAAAAUAAAAAAGACAAGAUCAUACAAAGACAUUCAUAAGUCUUAAAUGCAUAUUGGUCAGUGAAAGAAGUUGGUCUGAAGAGGCUACAUGCUGCAUAAAUACUGUAUAAUUACAUUAUGUAAUAUUCUGAAAAAUGCAAAGCUAUAGA
rnacentral:lncRNA from 1 species